GACGAACGCUGGCGGCGUGCCUAAUACAUGCAAGUCGAACGAACCGCGACUAAGUGCUUGCUCUAAGUCAAGGUGAGUGGCGAACGGGUGAGUAACAAGUGGGUAACCUACCUAAUAGUGGGGGAUAACAGUCGGAAACGAAUGCUAAUACCGCAUAGGACAUAGGAUCACAUGAUCCCGUGAGGAAAGGUGGCGCCAGCUAUCGCUCAGAGAUGGAACCGCGGUGCGUUAGCUAGUUGGUAGGGUAAAGGCCUACCAAGGCGAGUAGGCAUAGCCGACCUGAGGGGGUGAUCGGACACAUUGGCACUGAGACACGGCCCAAACUCCUGCGGUGGGCAGCAGUAGGGAAUCUUCCGCGAUGGACGCAUGUCUGACGUAGCAACGCCGCGGGAGUGAUGAUGGUCUUCGGAUCGGUAAGCGCUGUUGUUAUAGAAGAACAACGCAUAGAGUAUCUGCGAUGCGUGUGACGGUAACUAACCAGAAAGCCACGGCUAACUACGUG
rnacentral:rRNA from 1 species